UCACCGCUCAGGCUCUGCCUGGUGAUGGGGCAUGCGGGCAACCGCAGCUCCCAAAUGCAGUGGCGGUUCCCAUCGGGUUCCCUUGCGCAGUAGAAGCAACUCGCUGUCGCCUCGGAGUCCCGCGUGGGCGGCCUGCCGUAAAACACCCAACGUCUUCCACU
rnacentral:misc_RNA from 1 species